GAGAUGGCAAUGACCUUGAGAGCCUUGGAAGCCCAGGUGAACAAGCCACCUGGGGCCUGGCACUUGAGUCAGUGAUGGCUUCUUCAGCUGGACAUGCAUGUCCUGAGGAUCUAGGAAGGAGGAGGGGCCUUCUGAACCCAGCUCAUGGAGCAAGAGCUUCUUCAGGACAGGGACUGGCUCUUACUCACCUUAAGUCCGCUGUAGAGACUGAGAUGAGAAUUGGUGCAGCAUGGGAGCUGAAACACAGAUCCACUGCCUCAAUGCCUUGGCACCAUCCCAAAGGGAAUUCAAUCACUACAUCAAACAGCAGAGUGAUUUCAGCCAAGGAGCCCCUCAAAGCUGCAGCCUACUUGGGCACUGUGGCAGUCACUCGGGUAGAAUCAUAGAUCCAGAGUUAGAAGGGACAUUUCUACAACCACUGGGCUUUCUCUCUUUUUGGCCUCAAACUUAGGAAUGUUUGGAAAAAGAAAAUCCCUGAUCGUGGUUUCAAAGACUUAAAACGAUUGGAGAGCCCUUAAAUUAGUGGUAUCUGUGACUCCACCUACUGAGCAAGAGGGGCUGAUGCUGAGGCA